GCCACCUCCCAGUUUGCGCGAGUUACUGGUGAAGAUGGAGUAAUGCUCAAAGUCUGGCGAAGGGUGUAUCACCUAAACGUUGGACCGUUCAGAAACUUCGCCCUGUCUUGCUUGGACAUCCAGAUAUACUCUACAGGGGGCACCGAGUCGAGUUGUGAGCAAAAGAAAUCUCGGGAAUUGGGAGGGCCAACAGGCAAGCAAGUUCUCCCACCCAUGGAGUCCAGCAAGUUGGAAGGUCGGUCAAAAAAGAUUCCCAGGGACCAGUUCCCAGUCCAGGUCACCUGUUACAGGCUUCUGCACAGCGGUGUGAGAGCUGGCAAAGAAAUGAAUGGAACUGGAAGUCGGGUGGAUGCCAUCUGGCCCUGGCCACGUGUUCACUUUUAAACUUUCAAGACAGUUUGGAACAUCUUCUCUCGUCACCUCAGAUCGGCCCAAUUCUUCAGCCUCCACAGUCAGUUCAGGCACAGAGGGAGACUCCAGUGGAGAGGUGUUCCGGGAUGCCAGCAGCCGGAUGCGAAGUGUGCUGCUGCGGCUGGUAGGCUCAGCAGAGGAUCCCUGCAGGAGAGGCGCUCUUCCGGACACGGGAUGGAGCGGAGGCUCAGCAGACCCCCUUGCCUGAGGUGCCACAGGCAACAGAGUGCCAAGGUUCUGCAGAGCGAGAGGCGUCUGAACUUGCCAAUUUUGUAUAUAUGCCCAGAAUUGCAUAUUCACCCAUACUGGAUGCAUUGAUGUUCUCUCCCUUGCAGCUAAAAAGAAAUCAGAGGGGGAGGGUCUUGUUGGUGGUGGCACCCUCUUCAUGAGGCUCACCAGUCCUUUGACAUGGCCGCUGGAGGCCCUUAUUGUUCACCCAGGUGUUUCAAAAUUGUGUUUACACUUGAUCUUAGCCAAAAGGCCGCGAAGAUUCGAAUGUAUUGUGUUUGUCUUUUUGGUUGUACUGUUCUGUGAUUCUCUUGUCAAGCUGCCCAGAGACCAAUUAUGUGGCAGCCACUAAAGCAUUUGUUAUAAUCUGUGUAUUUACUGCUUCAGUAAAAGUAUUUCAAGACUUGGAUUUGUGUGCUUCGAACAUUAAAAGUGUUGAGAGUAUA